GCGCAAAGUUGCUCAAACCGGUUACACGCGCUGCGCUAUUUGAAAUAAAACCCUAACCAAAAAACCAAAAAAAAAAUAAAAAAACAAAGACAUAGAAACUUUUCAGUUACGCAGACUGAUAGAAGAACGCUCGUAACGCUCGGAAAUAACAAAAAAAAGAACUCUGCUGCUGCUCCCAAAGUCCUACAGACCUUCCCGAAUUCAGUUGAUAGCAAUGGAGUUGGUGGUGGCGUCGUCUUCCAUCGACGGCGGUAUCGGCUGCUGGAAUCUACAAACCGGCGCAGAGCAGCUCCGUUACAAGUCCUGCGCCUCUCCGCCUCAUGGCCUCGUAUGCGUUGGCGGACGCUUCAUUGCCUCGUCUCAGCUCCGUGAUACUUCGGCCUCUUCAGGCUCUGUUCUCUACUGGUCCUGGUCUAAGCCUCAAGUUGAAGUCAAGAGCUUCCCUGCAGAGCAGAUAAAACCGCUUGCUGCUAACCGUGAAGGCACGUAUGUCGUUGGUGGUGGAUCGUCUGGGAGUAUUUACUUGUGGGAGGUUGUUAGUGGUAGGCUGCUUAAGAAAUGGCAUGCUCAUUAUAGGGCUGUUACAUGCUUGGUAUUUUCUGAUGAUGACUCGCUACUAAUUUCCGGAUCAGAGGAUGGAGGCGUUAAAGUUUGGUCACUUUUAAUGACAUUUGAUGCUUACAGCAUACAACAAGCAAGUACUCCAUAUAUGCAUAGCUUUUCAGAGCAUACGCUUUGUGUUACAGAUGUUGUUGCCGGCUAUGGAAGCGUCAAUGCAAUUAUAGUGUCGGCUUCACAUGAUCGAACGUGUAAGGUCUGGAGCUUGUCGAAAGGAAAAUUAUUGAGAAAUGUUGUGUUCCCUUCAAUAAUUAAUGCAAUAGCAUUGGACCCUGGUGAACGAGUCUUUUAUGCUGGUGGCAGAGAUGGCAAGAUAUAUGUUGCUGCACUUAGUGCUGAAAGCACAUUUAACAACAGUUAUGGGUUGCAUAUCAUUGGUGCAUUUUCGAAUCACAGCAACGCAGUUACUUGCUUAGCCUAUGGUACAACUGGAAAUUUAUUGAUCUCUGGUUCAGAAGAUGGCAUGGUUCGAGUUUGGGAUGCUAGGACUCAUAACAUUGUUCGCAUGUUCAAACAUGCAAAAGGUCCUGUCAAUAAUAUUCUUGUUGUUAGGCAACAAUUCUACAACAAUUUUCAUAUUAAUCCAAAUAUGCAAGUCUCCUCCAGAAGGCACGGGUCAUUAUUGCCACCUCCUUUGGAAAAGUAUGAUAAUUCCACAGAUGGGGAUGCAGAUUUUAAGGCUGUUAUUGGCCUCCAGCCAACUUGCAGUGAAUCUAUGGAUGCGUUUUAUCAAAGUUCUCAUGUCAUUAAUAAUCAAAUCAAAGAACUUCAGCAACAAGGUUCUGCCGCUGCUGAAAUGGAGAGGGAGAGACUAAAGCUUGAUUGCAAGAGAUUCAUGCAAAUGGUUCAGCAAUGGAAAACAAUGUACGAAAACUUGCAUGAAUUCUGUGUGAAUGAACUUUUAGAAGGUGAUCAAGCUGGGGGCUGCAAUGGAAACUCUGCCUGAGAUGUUGCUGGAUGUUGUGCUUUUCCAUUUUGAAGCUGGGUUAUUGUGUUUUUCGUAUCAGCUUUUAAGUUUGGAGGUAAAUCAGUAAACGGAUGCAAGAUGCACGAUAUUUUUGUCCAUUUAGUUGUCCAUAAUCAUAUUCCAUAUUAAGGAUUUUUGGAUAACUUAGGACUUUUUAUAUUUUCUAAUGUAGGGUGUUUAAAAUCUCGAGUUUAAAUCUGGGGCAGAGUCAGGGAAGUGAAUGGAUGAAAUUGAAUAUACAGGAAAAUAAAGAGCUCUAUUGAAGACCACCAAUAAACAGGAUUGUUCUCCCUGAAGUGUAAGAUAGGCUGCCAUUUCAUUAGCCGCCACGGGAAGAGCUAUGUGCCGCUUCCUUACCCUUCCUUUCUUGUCAACUACUUACUGGAAAUUCAAAUGAACUCAGAAAUUGGGGUGAUCAGAGAAUCUGUAUUUGUAAUUAUUUCAUAAUUAUUUUGUCGAACCUAUUGGCCUUCUUUGCUGGUUUUCCUUGGUUGACUCUUUAGCUAUCUAGUACGGAUCAAUUGGUAAUAGCCACUAUAAAAUGUGUAUAGGUUACAAAAACCUGAAUCAAUCAACUACUUGUACACAUAUUGUUGAAAUUAUAAGACCUCUACUGAUGAUAUAUUUAUAUGAGAGGAUGUUCUACGCCAUAUAGGCGGCGAAUUUAUUAUCAG